GUCCUAUAGGUAAUAAUUUUAGGUCUAGCCUGCCCACUGAAUUUUUAAGGGCCGCGGUAAUUUGACCGUGCAAAGGUAGCAUAAUCAUUAGUUUUUUAAUUGAAAACUGGAAUGAAGGGUUGAAUGAAAAAAUAUCUGUCUCAUUUAUAAGAAUUGAAUUUUAUUUUUAGGUUAAAAAGCUUAAAUAUUAUUAAAAGACGAGAAGACCCUAUAGAGUUUAAUUAUUAAUUAAAAUUAUAUAAUUAGAAAUAAUUAAAAAUUUAUAGUUUAAUAAUUUAAUUGGGGUGAUUGAAAAAUUUAUAUAACUUUUUUUAUUUAUUUUCAUAAAUUAAUGUUAAAUUGAUCCAAAAUUUUUGAUUAAAAGAAUAAAUUACCUUAGGGAUAACAGCGUAAUUUUCUUAGAGAGUUCUUAUUGAUAAGAAAGUUUGCGACCUCGAUGUUGGAUUAAAAUAAAUUAUUGGUGGAGAAGCUAAUAAAUUAAGUCUGUUCGACUUUUAAAAUUUUACA
rnacentral:rRNA from 1 species